rnacentral:lncRNA from 10 species
GUAGAAGAAAAUCUUCCCAUUAGUCAUUGAUUCUAGGAGGAGUUCUGGAGCACAGGGAUGAUUAACUCCACAAUGGGGUACACAAAAUCAAUGAAAUAAGUUAACACUAGAACCAGCUGUAUAAGCAGACAGUGUCCUCCUGGGAGGGGAGAUGAAUUGGGACUCAUCAAAUCCAACUUGCUGGGAAACUGAUGGAGGACUUGAGGCAGGAAUUCCCACCAUGAGCCAGGAGCAUCAAAUCCAACCUGCCAGGAAGCUGAUGGAAGACUUGAGGCAGGAAUUCCCACCAUGAGCCAGGAGCAUCAAAUCCAACCUGCCAGGAAGCUGAUGGAAGACUUGAGGCAGGAAUUCCCACCAUGAGCCAGGAGCAUCAAAUCCAACCUGCCAGGAAGCUGAUGGAAGACUUGAGGCAGGAAUUCCCACCAUGAGCCGGGAGCAUCAAAUCCAACCUGCCAGGAAACCGAUGGAGGACUUGAGGCAGGAAUUCCCACCAUGAGCCAGGAGCAUCAAAUCCAACCUGCCAGGAAACCGAUGGAGGACUUGAGGCAGGAAUUCCCACCAUGAGCCGGGAGCAUCAAAUCCAAGUUGCGGGAAACUGAUGGAGG